UACGGAGGGGGCAAGCGUUAUUCGGAAUUAUUGGGCGUAAAGGGCGCGUAGGCGGCUAGAUGUGUCAAAGGUGAAAUCCCUCGGCUCAACUGAGGAACUGCCUUUGAAACUGUCUGGCUUGAGGCCGGGAGAGGGUAGCGGAAUUCCCAGUGUAGCGGUGAAAUGCGUAGAUAUCAGGAGGAACACCAAUGGCGAAGGCAGCUCGCUGGAACGGUACUGACGCUGUGGCGCGAAAGCGUGGGGAGCAAACAGG
rnacentral:rRNA from 1 species